rnacentral:tRNA from 1 species
UGGGGUGUGGCUCAGUGGUAGAGCACUUUCCCAACAUGAUGAGGCCCUGGGUUCAAUUCCAGGACCACAA